UGAAACGACGGCGUAUCACAGCUCAUGGUGCCGUACUUAAACUCCAGACCAUCUCCUUCCUCCUCCCUCCUCCUCCUCCUCCUUCUUCUUCUUCCAUCUCCACCAGUGCUGGUUCCCCAGUUUGAUAUUGAAGAAACAGUGUAAAGAGAUAGAUCGAACAAGUGUACAAGGAAAUCGGAUUUGUUCCAUGGUAGCAUGCCGCCGAUAACUUUACAACUGCUUAUGUGAAAGCAUAUUUGUUGACUGCUACUAGUGGAGGCUUAAACCAACAAAGAAGAGGGGAUAACUGAUGCUGUUGUUGCAGCUUAUAUCUUGAAUGCUACUCUUGUUGUUCCCAAGCUGGACCAGAAAUCAUUUUGGAAGGAUUCCAGCAACUUUGAUGAAAUCUUUGAUGUAGACAGGUUUAUAUCAUCUCUGUCAAAAGAUGUUGAAAUCAUUAAACAGCUUCCAACAAAGAGAGGAAAACCAAUGAGUCCAUAUACCAUGCGUGUCCCAAGGAAGUGCAAUGCAAAAUGCUACCAGAAUCGUUUAGUGCCUGUUCUUAAUAAAAAGCAUGCUGUUCAGCUCACAAAGUUUGAUUACAGGCUUUCAAAUAAGUUGGAUUCAAAUUUACAAAAGCUUAGGUGUAGAGCAAAUUAUCAUGCCUUGAAGUUUA